CAGCCGCCGCGGGAAUACAGAGGAUGCAAGCGUUAUCCGGAAUGAUUGGGCGUAAAGCGUCUGUAGGUGGCUUUUCAGGUCUGCCGUCAAAUCCCAGGGCUCAACCCUAGACAGGCGGUGGAAACUACCAAGCUGGACUACGGUAGAGGCAGAGGGAAUGUCUGGUGGAGCGAUGAAAUGUGUUGAGAUUGGAAAGAACACCAACAGCGAAAGCACUCUGCUAGGCCCACACUGACACUGAGAGACGAAAGCUAGGGGAACAAAUGGGAUUAGAUACCCCAGUAGUCCCUGUCUCUUAUAC
rnacentral:rRNA from 1 species